rnacentral:rRNA from 1 species
ACGACGAGGUAGAUAGGGCAGAGGUGGAAGUACAGUAAUGUAUGGAGCUGACUGCUACUAAUCGGUCGAGGGCAUGACCAAA